rnacentral:rRNA from 1 species
GUCUAUGGCCAUGCCACCGAUCCUGUCUGAUCUUGAAAGCUAAGCAGGGUCGGGCCUGGUUAGUACUUGGAUGGGAGACUACCUAGGAAUGCCAGUGCUGUAGGCG